rnacentral:lncRNA from 1 species
GCCUGGUAAUAUUGCAGAAGCCAGAGAGAGAACUUAGUGGAAUACAAGGCAGCCAAAGGUGACAAAUAUUGCAGAAGUGUAAACAGUGACAACUGGGAUAAUGCUGUUUGGAUUUCACAAGCAGGGCAUAGGUUACCCUGCAGUUUCUGAACAGUUGUGGAAAAUAGACUUUAAGGGAUUAAGGUGUUAGUAAGUGGGGAGGAAAUGGAGGUAUGAAGACCAAUAAGCAGCCCUAAAAAUUUGGUAUGAAAAGGAAAAAAGAAAUAGGGUUCCAGUUUUUAUUCUAACACCUUCCCAUCUGGGGUUUGGAACAAAUAGGCUUCCUGGAAGAACUGGGAUUUGAAUGAAGGAUUUAAAGGUGAGGAGAGAAGGAUAGAAUGAUAAUGUAUCAGCCAUAAAGGAGGCAUUUUGAGGCUUAUAUCUUGAAAGCCAGGAAGACUUUGGAAUAAUGUUUGAGUCCCAGCUGUGUGAGUGAACUUGGGCAAGUUAAUUAACCUUGGUCAGCUGCAAUUUCCUCAUCUUGAAAACACAGGUGGACCCUUGACUCUGAACCACUCAAAUGAUGUGGGCUUGCUUUGUAUCCCCAUGACAUCUGAAAGUGAAAGAAUAAAAUGCUACAGCAGAAAGUGAAUGGCUUUCCAGAGUCAUAGAGGAAUGGCAGGAACCAGAGCCUCUAGUCUUCCAAGAACAGAAUAACAAAAGGAAUACGGAUGUUUAUCUUGACCUUGGGGUUUACCCACAACUGUUCUGAAUUUUGUGACACCAUAAAGGUGGCAGCCCAGGUGGAGACUUACAGCUGGAGCCAGAAGUGUCCCCGUGAUUCUGAAGAUGCACCCUCCAAACUGUACAUGGAGUCUGUCCUAGACUUAACAGCAGAGUGUGUUAAAAGGCUGGUUACAAACUCUAAAAUAAGGAUGACCUGCAGUUCAUGAAGAG